GGGACACGACCACAGGGAAAAUACACGCUAAUAUAAAAAAACAAAUUCGCAACCGAUUUGCUGCAGGAGACCAGGGAAAUCGAAUUCAAGCGAGUUUCUUUUUGUUUUGCAAGCCAGCCCCCAGACGCCUGGGUCAUUGUGACAGAUAGCAGGGAAUGCAGUGUAAGCUACCAGGCCAGAUAAAGAAGCGGACUGGAACUGGAAUUGGAACCAGCAGGUUUGCUACUGGCAAGAGGGGAAUGAGACUCUGGACAACCACUUGCAGCACCAGGCAGCAGAGAUGAGCCAGGAUGGAUACAACUGGUACACUCUGUCCAGCGCAGUGAGCAGUGGGGAACGCCAAGGGCUGCAAACCAUCACGGAAGAGAGAGUGAAAAAAAUACAUUAUAAAAUGACUCAUGAUUCAGAAAUGUACGGAAGGGUAUUAGGGCUGGAAAAAUGCAUUUAAAAGCUCAAUUGCUACGCAACUCAA